rnacentral:rRNA from 1 species
UACAGAGGUCUCAAGCGUUGUUCGGAUUUAUUGGGCGUAAAGGGCGCGUAGGCGGCGGGGUAAGUCGGGUGUGAAAUCUCAGGGCUCAACCCUGAAACUGCACUUGAUACUGCUCUGCUUGAGGACUGGAGAGGAGACUGGAAUUCACGGUGUAGCAGUGAAAUGCGUAGAUAUCGUGAGGAAGACCAGUGGCGAAGGCGGGUCG